rnacentral:sRNA from 1 species
AGGUUUGCACAGACGACUGACGAGGAAGCAUAUUUAGUCUCUUAUUUACAUGCACUGCCCGCCGAGUACAUGCCUUAGGAUUAUAUGAAAGGGAAGUUUAUACUUGCUCGUCCAACUGUCGUGAAACAAAGCGAAGAGGUCUCCGAUUGACUUGAACUUGACACAAGUUGCAGAAAUUAGAACUGAUUGAAAUUCGCAAGGCGAAGGUACAUUUCCAUAUUUGAAACAAGGAAGAUGAAGCAAACCAAAAACCCACCUUACAUAAAUCUAUCAGUCAGGUACAGGAGAUUAACGACAACGUUGCCAAAAACAAGGAACAUAAUAAACUGUCGAAACAGUUACAACAAAUGUGACUGAAAACCGUGUACCCUUCUUGCAAGAGCUGCUACUCCAUUGAAGUAUGCAAACGCUAGGAAGGUCUUCAGUUCUCAAUGUUUUAAAGUAAUGGUAAAGUUUUGACGGCACUUUUUUCGGGAUUAGUAACAAAUCUUUCCUUGCUUACCAUAUAUGAUCACAAAUGUAAUGCUCUUCAUUAAGAACUAAUGUGAAGUACAAUUGUGAUACAUAUACGUUAAAUAUUAAAAUACAGACAGCUUCACAUAUAUUGCCAUUCAUUGUAUCCUUUUCAUACAUUGUGCAUUUUGUCGAAUAUUGCAUUAUUUUGUGACCCACUUUUGUUAGCCAAAGUUGUUUAAAUAGUUAUUAUUGAGAAAAUGUACAAUCGAU